rnacentral:rRNA from 2 species
CUGGGGACUACGGUCGCAAGACUAAAACUCAAAAGGAAUUGACGGGGGCCUGCACAAGCGGUGGAACACGUGGUUUAAUUCGAUGCUACGCGAGGAACCUUACCAGGGCUUGACAUGCUGGAAGUAGCCACCCGAAAGGAUUGGCCACCUGUAACCAAUCAGGAACCAGUGCAGGUGCUGCAUGGCUGUCGUCAGCUCGUGCCGUGAGGUGUUCCCUUAAGUGGGAAAACGAGCGCAACCCUCGUCCUUAGUUGCCACCUUCGAGUAAUCGGAGCGCACUCUAAGGAGACUGCCCGCGUUAAGUGGGAGGAAGGUGUGGAUGACGUCAAGUCCGCAUGGCCCUUAUGCCCUGGGCUACACACGUGUUACAAUGGCGCAUACAAUGGGGGGCUAAGCCGCAAGGUGGAGCAAAUCCUAUAAAGUGUGCCUCAGUUCGGAUUGAGGGCUGCAAUUCGCCCUCAUGAAGCUGGAAUCGCUAGUAAUGGCGCAUCAGCACGGCGCCGUGAAUCGUUCCCAGG